AGGACGAACGCUGGCGGCGUGCUUAACACAUGCAAGUGGUGCGACGAACCAGGGCUUGCCCUGGGGCCAAGCCGCGAACGGGUGAGUAACACGUGAGUAACCUGCCCCGAUGACCGGGACAACCCGAGGAAACUCGGGCUAAUACCGGAUGUGGCGCACAGGCGUAAGCCUGUUCGCUAAAGGAAGCUUCGGCCUCCGCAUUGGGAGGGGCUCGCGGCCCAUUAGCUUGUUGGUGGGGUCAAGGCCUACCAAGGCGACGAUGGGUAGCUGGUCUGAGAGGACGAUCAGCCACACUGGGACUGAGACACGGCCCAGACUCCUACGGGAGGCAGCAGUAGGGAAUUUUCCACAAUGGGCGAAAGCCUGAUGGAGCGACGCCGCGUGCAGGAUGAAGGCUUUAGGGUCGUAAACUGCUUUUCUCUGUGACGAUUAUGACGGUAGCAGAGGAAUAAGGGUCGGCUAACUACGUGCCAGCAGCCGCGGU
rnacentral:rRNA from 1 species